ensembl:lncRNA
UGAUACUAAAACAGGAAAAGUGCAGCUGUUUACCUUCAGCCAUCAGACCUCAGGUGAGGAAACAGGUGACACAAAAACAACAAAGAAACCAGACAGAAAAACUGAAACAACCACAACAAUUAAGACGCUUCUAAAAUCAGGUGAUGUUACUAAAACUAAGUUGACCAAAAAUAUUUAUUUAUUUUUCAGUUCAAAGUGGCCUUUAAUAUGAUUUACAGCACAUGAAAAAUACAUUCUCUCUCUCUCUUUUUUAACUUCUAAUUUCAGAUGAUACAACAGCAAAAACUGUGGAAAGUGAAAGCACGACAGCAAACAACAAACCAUCAGGAGAUUCACAACAUGAUUUUGUAUCUUUGAGGUUCAUAAUUGUCUCUGUGGGAUUGGCAGCACUUUCAAUAACAGCUGUGACAGUCAACAUGUGGACAAAAACUAAAGGGAAGAAAACACAGAUGGAUAAAAACACAGUACAUUAUGAUAGAGGUGAAGAUGUUCCAGUCAACUAUGAAAAUGUGGGAAACUCUGCUGUUUCAAUCAGACUGCACUGAUCAACAAAAUCACUGCUGUUAUAUUAUCAGUAUCAUCUCAUCUGGUUUAAACAUUAAAUAUCUUAGAUAUGAUGAGUCCAUUUUGACUUCUAUGUUAAUCUAUGUUAUGUCUAUGUUAAUGUAUUCAGAGCUG